UAAUAAUAUGAUGCUGGACUAGGUCU
rnacentral:piRNA from 1 species